rnacentral:misc_RNA from 1 species
UUGAUUCAUUUGUUUUGCUUGUACGCCGAGAUGCCGCUGACAGCAGAGUACUGGGGGGUCCCUCCGGCGGGCGCCUGGGUCCGGGCCGCUGGGGCGCCGGGGCGGUCCCGCCGAGGCAACGUGUGUGGUACGGUUCGCAGGGGGUUUGGGAGUUGUAAACUCGGUAAUGAUCCCUCCGCUGGUUCACCAACGGAGA